AAGAAAUUUUAUACAAGGCCUGUGCAUUUUCAAAACACAGGAUUGACCUAAUGAGCAGGAAUUUGAGACCAGCCUAUCUACCCCCUCCCCCGAUUUGAAGACAUCCCUCGGGCUACGUGGGGAGGAAAGCCUGUGUGACUGAUCGCUGCAGUGACUGCUCUUGGCCAUGACUGUUACUGCCAUUUUGGCCUCUCUGAAAAGUGAGGCAGCCUAAGCCUCACAGAUAUGUUUCCUGGUCACAUUUUUGUUGUCUCUACAGAAAGAGAAGCAAACGAUAUCACCAAAGUCCUAACUCUAUCCUCCCACUCUGUGAACUACAGAAAAGGAAGCAGCAGAAGAAAUAAUAGAGGGAAUAACAAAGUGACAGAAGCAUAGAGGGAAAAGCAGCAGGUGGCUUUUCAUCAAGGGGCCUUUGGGUAAGAUUUACAGGAGACAAUGUUUUCUCUGCGCCUCUGGGACUUGAAAGGUCAUGGAAAGAGGACUCACUCGCGACAGAAUUCAAACACUCGUAGUUGUGUCUCAAAGUCCUCCGCGGACAUCACCAGAAGGCAUGGUUUCAGGGGUGUUUUUCAGAAGGGCGAUGGAUUUCUUUGGAUCCACGUAGUCUCUCUUAUCUGGUUAGAGUUUCUUCUUUUUCUUUUUGUUCUUUUUUGACACAGAGUCUCACUCUGUCGCCCAGGCUGCAGGGCAGUGGCACCAUCUUGGCUCGCUGCAACCUCCGCGUCCUGGGUUCAAGCAAUUCUCCUGCCUCAGCCUCCCGAGUAGCUGGGACUAGAGGUGUGCACCACCAUGCCUGGCUAAUUUUUGUAUUUUUAGUAGAGACAGAGUUUCACCAUGUUGGCCAGGCUGGUUCUCGAACUUCUGACCUCAAGUGGUCCUCCUGCCUCGGCUUCCCAGAGUGCUGGGAUUACAGGUGUGGGCCACCGCGCCCGGCCUUAUCUGGUUAGAGUUUCUUAGGUGGGAAUGGAGUUAGCAGUCCCAGACCAGGCCAAGUUAGGACAAGCUGAGAAAUGCAUCCUGUGGUUGACACAUGGUGAGGAAUACCCAAGCAAAAUACUCUUGUGUGAGGCUUAGACUCUGUAAGAAUCUACCACUUUAUGAAGAGACUUUCUUCUCCCAUCUACCAGAUUUUCCACCAAAUUUGUUGCAGCCUUGUUAUGGGCUGAAUUGUGCCCUCUUAAAUUCAUGUAUCGAAGGACUGGCCCCCUAGGACCUCAGAAUGUGCCUGUGCCCUGUAUUUGAAGACAGGGACUUUAAAGAGGGGAAAAGUUAAACUGAAGUCAUUAGGGUGGGCCUUAAUCCAAUCUAGCUGGUGUCCUUAAGAAGAGUGCCGGGCGCAGUGGCUCACGCCUAUGAUGCCACUGCACUCCAGCCUGGGCAACAGUGUGAGACUUGUCUCGAAACAAAAAAGGAGGAAAUUUGGACACACAAAAAAGACACCAGACACCAGGGAUGCAUUCAUAGAGGAAAGGCCAUAUGAGAUCACAGCAAGAAGGUGGCCGUCGGCAAGACAAGGAGGAAGGCUUCAGAAGAAACCAGACCUGCUCUCACCUUGAUCUUGGACCUCGAGCCUGGAGAACUUUGAGAAAUAAAUUUCUGCCAUCAAAGCCACCAGUCUGUGGUACUUUGUUAUGGAAGCCCAAGCAGACUAAUACAACCUGCAGGCUUUAAACGAUGAACAAGGGAUGUGACUUUAUUGUAGGACCAGUAAUUUGAAUUUCUUGCAAACGCUUGAGUGUAAGCAUUAGUCAAUAGUCAGUGAUCUGACUGGAAAGAAGCAGAGGGCACAAGUUCAUGGCAGUGUGCUCAGGGGUACCUGGCCCCUCUGUGAAGAGCCCCAUAGAAGACAAGGCACUUGGGCCCUGUCUCAGGGGCAGCACAAGCUUCCAGGACACCACCGUCACUGGUCACUUGCUGCUCCCCACUGUGGCCCUGGACAGAUGAGUCAGGCCCAUGGUGGUCAGGGCAGUGGUUUCUCCUCGUCCUCCCCCAGCCUGCACUACUCCGUGCCUGGAGCUGUGAAAAAUUGGCCUUUGCUCGGGCGCGGUGGCUCACACCUGUAAUCCCAGCACUUUGGGAGGUCGAAGUGGGCACAUCAGGAGCUCGAGACCAGCCUGGCCAACAUGGUGAAACCCCGUCUCUACCGAAAAUACAAAAAAUUAGCCGGGCACGGUGGAGGGCGCCGGUAAUCCCAGCUACUUGGGAGGCUGAGGCAGGAGAAUCACUUGAACCCAGGAGGCGGAGGUUGCAGUGAGCUGAGACCGUAACACUGCACUCUAGCCUGGGUAACAGAGUGAGACUCAGUUUCAAAAAAAAAACAAGGUCUUUGCUGCUUCCACAGAUGCUCACAUUUCUCCCUGGCUCAUUUUAAGCUGUGCUAAAAUCUGGUAACAAAGCUUGCUUUUAUUUAAGGUACAUUUUGUAAGUUUUCGGGUGGCCCACUGUAAGGUAGAGAGCCCUGCUCUUGGUGACUUGCUUUGGAACUAGAAAAUUAGCAUCUAGCUGUACCAUAUCUGGGCACAUGACUGGGGCUUCAUCAGGUAGGGCUGGGCUUUCAUGAAGUAAGUUGCAGCUCAGGGCCUCGGCGUGCGAGGAGUGCAGUUGCUGUGUGUGACUGGCUCUGUCACCAGGAGCCCCGCGUAUUCUUCAGGGAGAAUUUUCAAUCAUGCUGGUUUUGAUUUAGGCAAUAUGGUCUUGAAAAUAUUUUCAUAGUCUAGUCUCCAUCAAUCUUAUUCUUCCACACUGACAUCUGCUUCCAGAAUUUGGAGUAAGGCGAGCUGGGAAGUAGGGCUCUGAAAUCUUGAAGGACUGCCUAAGCCCCCCCACCACACAGAAGCAAAAGCAGCCUCCACAGGAUGCCAGCUUAGCAAGGGAGGCCUCACGAGCAAUUUUAAGGACCUCAGCACUGAUGACGAGAGAUGGUGUGUUACGGAUUUUGCAUCUGCAGUUUUGCCAUUAGUGGCAUUUUAGGAAUAAAUAAGGUUGAUAUGUUAACUACCUCAAAAUAAUUUUCCCAUUCAAUUAGAUUUUGUUAGUGAACUCACUCAUCAGUUUGGAUAGUUCAAGUAGUAUACUGAAAAAUGAUAGCUAAACCUGGCUUAUGAUUAGAGCUGGUUUACAUUUUGCCUUCGGCAAGUGGAGGAUUUCCCUAGGCUGUUUCUGGAGCCUCAUUUAUUGAUGAGCUUCUGUGCCCUACUCCAAGAAGCACCUUUCCACCUGAGAAUGAGGGGCCCCAUUUACAAUAUUCUUGGAUGAGGACCUGGGGAAGAAUGCAGGAGAGCCCCAAGCUAAGAUGGUAUUCAAACUCAGAGCACGGCAGAAAGUUCCCAAAAAGAUGUUAGAAGUAUGGCUCGGCUUGCUGCUGUUUUGGCUUUUAAAAAAAGAUUAUAGCAAGAACCUUUUAGGGAACUCCACAGCCACCAGUAGGGAUCGGCAGGCACAUUGCCCCAGCUAACCACUGGAGUGGUGUUCAGGGAGGGUUUGGGAUGUGGAUGCUGCUCCAAGCCAUCUGGGAGGGAGACAGGUGCAGGGACAGUCAGCAUGAAAGCAACUGGGGACUGGGAUUGCCAUAGCUCAACAGCCUGAUGAUGGCCUGAGGUUGUUGCCAAGAGCAGCUCCUAGGAACUGCUCCUUCUCUGAGCCACCCUCUGGGAACAGCAGAGCUGUCAGAGAAGAUUUAAUUGUUUUGAUCUUCCUGCCUUCUUGAUAUCCCAUUGAGAGUCACCCUUCAGGGAGAAGGAGAUAGAGUCGUCAUUUUGUAUUAAGCAAUGACAAGAAAGAAAAAAAACUUUUAAGAUGAAAUCCUGAUGGGAUUGAAAAUCAAUUAAUCAAUCACACAGACCUCUGAUUCCUGGUCAUUCUGGCUCAGAAUUACAGACAUAAGUGUGUGACACUGUGUUACCUUAGGGUAUAUGGACUUUUAGACCAGUAGAAUUUUAUGGAGAGAAGAAACAGUAAAGAUACAUUAGUUCAAUGUAUGCAUUAGUGUUUAAGGUAAUAAUUUUGGUGCAAAAGCAGAAUGGGCCAGAUAGACUAGUUUGCCAGGAGUUUAUGGAUCUAAUGAAAUAGUUUCAGUUGCUCAUUUAGAGAAAACAAAUGCAGAAAUAGAGACCACAGCUCUUAAUGCAACCAAAGAGAGAAAAUGCAUGCUGACUAAACGUCCACCCAUUAGGCUCCUUAUUAACAGAAAUGAGAAGUUAUUCUUUGGGGACUGUUGCUCUCCUGCUGCUCUGUCAUGGGGCUAUGGCUUCAUUUUCCAUCUAUAAACACCAAACACUGGAAGGUUGGUUGCUAAGAGAACUCACUGGGGAAACAGUUAACUGUUCAAAUGUCCCCACUUACGUGGAUAUGUGCAAAUACCACCCUCUGUUCAGAUCUGCAUGUUGCAGAAAGACACUACGUGCAGUGGACUAAAGCUGGACGCCGGAGUGUCCCACAGACCCAGGUUAGCACCCCUGCCCUGCCACUCACUAGACAUGUAACUCACAGCAAGUUCUUAAGAACUCUUUCGAAACUAUUCCUCAUGGGCAAAAAGAAAAGGAUGGCAAAGCAUGAUUUUUUAAGUGUUCACUGUGUAUACCAAUUAUGAACAAAUUGUAAAAUCCUGCUUCAUUUCAUCACCAUCAAACCAUAGGCUUAAAUUUGCUCAUAAUCCCGACAACACUGUGUGUUUGGAAACAGUGGAAACAGGAAGAACUGAGAGCGGGUCUGCAUUCAGGAUCCACGUGGCUCCAAUCAUAGGUGUGAAAAGACUCACAUAUUCCGUAGCAUCAUAGGACCCAUCAGAGUAUAACAGCUAAGAUUAUUACACAUGCUGUUCCAGUGUCCCACUCACACUGCACCACAGAAAGCUCUGCAGUGGAUCAAUUGCUGCUGUGCAGUCCCCAACAUCCGAUCCUUGCUGAAGUUUAUUGAUUAAGCUGGCUAAUACACUCCUUACACAGUUAUUUGGUACCAUAUUGAAAAUACAUUAAUUCUAAAAUAACAAACAAACAAUAACUUUCAACCUCUAUUGCUAGUUUGAGAAUAAAAUGCUCCCUUUGGUGCAGUGAGUAGUGCUCAUGAGUGACAGACAAUUUGAAUAAGAAAACUGGGCUCUUGAUUUAGAUUUUUGGCUGUCAAUUACAUUUGGAAAGUUGGGGGUAAGGUACAAGCUGCUUAGGAACCCUUAUUUCUUCCCCCUGCCCUUUUGAUAUCAUUUCUCUCUCUUCUCCUUGACCUUAGGUGGGUCAAGGAGUUGGAAUUCAAAUCACAUGAGCAAAUAGCAUUCAAAUGUACAUGAUAUAUAAGGCACUUUAGCGAUCCAAAAAAAAUUUACAAUAUAGUUUCUGUCUCAAAAAGUUUAUUGCCUUGUUUGGGGAGACAAAACAUACCACACGAAAAGUUCAUGAUACAGGAUUUAAACAAGGGCUCAACAAAUCAUAGAGGAAUUGUUAUAUAACAUGGGUUCUUCCAUUAAAUGGUAAAGGAAUGCUCUUAGCUCUAAAUACUAAAAAAAAAAAAAAAAAAAGAGAAAGAGAGAGAAAUUCAGGAACUGUCCAGGUAGGAUUGAGGUAAAGGACAGGGACGAAAUGAACUUUUUGAGAAGCAUGUAGGUGGCUAAGUCAGUUUGGAUGUUAGGAACUACACUGAGAAUCAAGAGAUGAGGAAGACCAAGGGCAAACCGAAACGAGACAGGCUGAGACAAAGCGAGAUGAGACAAAGUGAGAAGAGAUGAGACAAAGCAAGAUGACAGAAGUUUGGUGAUCAUCUUGGACAUUUUGCUAAAUUAGGUGAAAAAGGAGCAAGAAACAGGUAUCCUUAGGCAAAGGCAACCUCUGACCAAGCUUGAUGAGGGCAGAUGAGGACUGAUUCUAGCAUGAGAGGGAGGUGCAGGAGAGGCAGCUGCCCAGUAGGUCCUCAGAAGAUGGUGAAGGCACCACUCCAAAGAGUGUAGAUACAUACUGACCACAACAGAGACAGAAUGUGUGUGUGUGCACACGUACACAUGAACGAAAGAGGCUAGGGCAUCAGAGGGGAGAGGAAAUACAGGGAGAAGGGAAGUCAAGGAAAGAUGCCUGACAUUCCACAGGAGAAGCUUCUGCACAGGAGCAGUGGGGAUAACAACUCCAAGAUGCACUGGAGAGGGGUUUUUGCUAGAGAGUCAGCAUCGCAAACAAGCAGAGUACCUUUGCAUUAAGGUGCGAUUUAAAAAUAUGUUAUUAUCUAGGAUAGUGGUGCUCAACCAUGGCGAUUUUGCUCCCCAGGGAACAUUUGACAACUGGGAGACAGUUUUGGUUGCCACAGCUGGCAGUGGGGAUGGGGGUGCUAACUGCCAUCGUGUGGGUAGAGGACAGAGACGCUGCUGAACACCCAGCAGCACGCAAGAAGAUCCCACAACCUGGCUCCAGAUGUCAAUGGCACCAAGGCUGAGAAACCAAAUUUAGAGGAUCCCAGGGAAAACAGAAAAGUAUCUUAAAAAUAAACAUUACCCAGUAUUGUACAGUUGACAAAUGUUAACAUUAUGCAUUUAUUAAAAACAAAUGUAAGCAACAUUUAUUACUGUAGUUAGAAUUUUAAAAUAUGUACAUAUACUGCAGCAGACUUUUAUUUAUUUAUUUAUUUACUUAUAUGAGACAGAGUCUCGCUCUGUCGCCCAGGCUGGAGUGCAGUGGCACGAUCUUGGCUCACUGCAAGCUCCGCCUCCCGGGUUCGCGCCAUUCUCCUGCCUCAGCCUCCCGAGUAGCUUGGACUACAGGCGCCCGCCACCACACCCAGCUAAUUUUUUGUAUUUUUUAGUAGAUAUGGGGUUUCACCGUGUUGGCCAGGAUGGUCUCGAUCUCCUGACCUUGUGAUCUGCCCGCCUCGGCCUCCCAAAGUGCUGGGAUUACAGGCGUGAGCCACCGUGCCCAGCCCUGCAGCAGACUUUUAAAAAGAUAUAUUCAGCUUCAUCACCCUUUUCUUAAAAAACUGAAAUUACUUCUGUCAAAAUCAUGCCGAUGGAAAGCAAUGACAUGCUAAGCACAGUCCUUUACAGAAAUAAUUCAGAUAGAAUAAGUGGAAAAUAACCUUAAAGAAGAUUGAAAGAAGCGACAACUUAAUGAAACCCAGCUACUGGUUCCAUUUUCUAUUUAUCCUUCCAAAUUGCUAAUGAAUUCUGACCCAUUUAGUCAUGCAAAAUAUAUAUCCUGAAGAAUCUGUAUCCCUUUUGAGGUACUUAAUGGAUGUUUAGCCGGCAAGGAAAUAUGGCAUGCCUAUUAUUCACAAUAGUUGAUCUUUAAAUUGACAUUAAUAUGCCACACUUAGAGUACUGGGGAAAUUCUAGCCAAAUAUACAAAGCCGCUGCUACUAAGAUGAAAGACAUUCCACAAGGAGGAAACUGAUCUCAGAACCAGUGACCACGGCCAUGAGGGCUUCGUGGCUGCUACAGCACGUUAGCCAUAAACAAUUUCCAUCUGAGGAAGUGCAUUCAGUGCAGCUGCUGAUGCAUAGUAAAUAUUUGAUCCUAAUUGGACCUAAUGAUGAAUUUCAAUUCUGUAUUCACCAUUCUUUUAUAGGACACCAACCCAUAAACACAAAAAAUAAAAAAGGUUUUGGGGAACAUUUUUCAUUUCCUUAAGUCAUUUAAUAAUGAUGAAUUGCCUGGGAGGCUCUUUGAAAAGAUAGAUGCGGCUAGAAAGUUACUGGGAGAAUUAGAAAUUGCAUAAGGAUUCAAUGCAAAAUACUUUGUAAAAAGAAAUUUUAACUUCCUUGUUUAACUUAUUUUAAUUCAUUGAGAAAUUAAAGGUAAAAUAUACUUUAUAAAAAUAUAAUCUGGCAAACUUUAAUUUGGGUACCAAUUUGGAAUUCGAUUAAACAGGUUCAAGUCUAUUUUUAUAGAUUAUAAAAAUGCUCCUUUCAGAUAAAGUAAAAAAGAUAAUUUUGUUUUGGGAGUUAAAAGAAUCAAUGUCUGUGCAUCCUUUAGUCUCAAUAGAAUAACUCUUAUUCUAUCAGUAGGCAGAAAUGUUUAAGCAGCACUGUCCAAAAGACAUACAUGUAAUUUAAAUGCUUUUAAAUGGAAUAGAAAAGUGAAAUUCUCUGGUGUUUUUUCUUGUAUUCUUUCAAAAUCAUAGCACCAAUGGAUGUGAGUUUCUAACAUUAUUCACCUAUCUUUUUAAAAAUUUACCCCUGAAUGCUUAUACACUGCUGGUGGAGAUGUAAAUUAGGUCAACCAUUGUGGAAAGCAUUUGGUGAUUUCUGAUAGAACUUAAAACAGAACUAUCAUUGACCCAGUAAUCCCAUUAUUGGGUCUAUACCUAAAGGAAUAUAAAUCAUUUUAUCAUAAAGACACAUGCACGCAUAUAUUCAUUGCAGCAUCAUUCACAAUAGCAAAGACAUGGAAUCAACAUAAAUGCUCAUCAAUGGUAGACUUGAUAAAGAAGAUAUGGUAUAUACACACCAUGGAAUACCAUGCAGCCAUAAAAAAGGACAAGAUGAUGUCCUUUGCAGCAACAUGGAUGGAGCUAGAGGUCAUUUUCUAAGCAAACUAACACAGGAGAAGAAAACCAAAUUCUACAUGUUCUCAAGUAUAAGUGGGAGCUAAACAUUGAGUACAUAUGGACACAAAGAAGGGAAUAACAAACACCACAGCCUACUUGAGGGUGGAAGGUGGGAGGAGGUGAGGGUUGAAAAACUACCUAUCAAGUACUAUGCUUAUUACCUGGGUCAUGAAAUAAUCUGCACACAAACCCCCCAUAACACACAGUAACCCCCGUAACAUGCUAUCAAUCUAUCUAUAUAACAAACCUGCACAUGUACCCCUGAACUUAAAAUAAAAGUUAAAAGAAUAAUAAAAACAGAAAGUUUACCCUUGAUAACACGUUUUAUGUAUAAUCACUAAAUCUACUAAGGCACAUUUGCAUAUUAUAUUAUAGAGUCUGCUAGCUCUACAGUUUUUCCAACUGUGUACAGUCGGCCAACUACCAUAACCCACAUCUUCCAAAUCCUAGUGGCUUAACAAUGGAAAAUGGAAUAUCCAGUGCAGCUCAGUGGAGUGUGGGGUGGGGGGCUGUGUUCCAAACAGCCAUUUAGAAAUGAUGCUCCUUGCAGCUAUUACUCCACCAUACCAUGGGGUCUCACAGUCCUUCACAUCCCCUGAGUCCAGCUGUUAGCUGAGAGGAGCGAGAAUGUACAGGAUCAGGUAUGGGUUUCAUGAGGCAGACCUGGAAGGGCAAUACAUCACUUCUACGAGCCAGAAAUUGUCACACGAUUCCUUCCAACUGCAGAGGAGGCUGGGGAAUGUAAUCUACCUGUGUGCCCAGGAGGAAGGGAAAUGGGCUUUGUGAAAAUGUGCAGCAUUAUCUCUGACAAACUGGCAGGAAAAAACCCACUAAUGUCAUAUCUUUAUAUACCUGAGAGAUGUAUCAUCAAUGACCAAUUCUCUGCCCUUGGCAGAAUGCCGAUUGGAAAUAUAGCUUUGGACAGGGCCAAUAUUAGGCUACGUCAAGAUGACCAGCAUGUGUCCUGGCAAGCUGACAACAGACUCUGUCAAACAGUCAGCAUGGCCAGAUUACCCUCCUGGUCUUCCAGGCAAUCAUGCUCCUCUUCCCACUUUGGGACUGACACCUUUGCUUCCCAUCGCAAGCACAGCCAAUUCACUGAAAAGAGUUGACUAGUGUCACUUGCAUUUUCAUCUGAAUAAGGGAAGAGUCACUGUCACUUGGAAUGUGACCAUAGACUCCACUAUCCUUAGACUACAUCAAAAUUAUGCUCCUUUAAACUAUUUGGAGGUAAAAGACACAAGAAAAUAAUAGGCACCAGAAGCAUACACAAAUGUGAGAUGUUUGGCAUGGAAGACAGUUUUCUACUCAUAAAAUACACAACUUGAAAGUUGGUAUAAAUAUCAGAUCCUGAAUCCUGCCAGCCACAUUUUUACUGGCAGGCAUAGCAGGAGACAGCACAAUGAAAAUUCUCAUAGAGGUUGGAAGUAGCAACAAGUCUUGAAAACUCAUUUGACUAUCAAGGAGGGCUAGACCACACAUUAACUCAGACCACAAAGGCUAAAGGUCUCACUUAGACUCUCUUAUCACUCAGCAUUUAGAACCAGAAGAAUAAUCACAUUCAUUCUUUCAAGACUUUCCCUUUAACUAUACAUAAGAAAGGAAAUGUCUUUACAUUCCUCAUAUCUCACUUGGCAUAAAAUCUAAUGUUUGUUCAUCUCACUUAUCUUAAUCCCAUACCUCCUCAUGUUUAUUAGAAGAAAAAAAUGUAACUCUGCAUGUCAGAAAACAGAUCUGAAGUAAAUAUCAGUUAAAAUGCAAAACAAAAAGCAAAAGAGGUCUCAGAUUUUUACAAAUGUUGUUUUAUAGAAACCAUAAAAUUGAGGUAACUUGAUUUAAAACAAGUGAAGACAUCCAAGAAUUUUCAUAGUAUGCAAGUGAUCUGGACUGGUGGUUGGCAGCAUUGACAUUAAAUCAGCUGAAUUUUCAUUGACAGCUCAUUAGAAAGAUGUUCCAAGAAAAUCGAAUACAAGAUGCUCAACAGAAGCUCUUCUCUAUGCAGUUCAUAACUGUUAUUUUAUGUCCUUACAAGUCAUGACUCAUAUUAGAACACGUAACUCUGUAAAAUUUAAAGAUUUUUAUAAAUCGCAUGAAAAAUUUCCCCUUAGUAUAGCUAUAAUUUUGCUGUUUAUGUCACAUGGAUUUUUAAUUACAUUUUCCAAACACGAAGGCAGUCAAUUUGAUAAGGAGAAUAUUUCACAAAAUUCACUCUUCUGUUCUAGGAUCUUGGUUCUAGGUAACUCAUUCUCCAGAAAGAAAUCAUAUCAGUCAGUUCACAAAAGAAAAAAAUAUUUAAGCCACCUAAAAACUCAAGUACUAUUCAUUGUUAAUUUUGUCUGGAUCUUUACAUUACCUUAACUAUAUGGUCAGUCUAUAAAAAUGUAUCUGUACAUAUGCUUACAGGUAAUAUGUAAUAUAAGUAACAUCCAGGGAUGGAUCCUGAAGCGGGCUUCCAUUUUUUUUUGGCAUUUGUAUUUUAAUGAAGGUUAAUAAAAGCCAAAUUACAGCCAACUGUUAAAGCUUUUUUUUUUUUUUUUUUUAAUUCUAUGGUAUAACAAAAUCAGUUCCAGGUUUUUUUCUGAACAAAUGAUCCUUUGGUCUUUCCCGUGGCAUGCUCCUAAAACAACUAAAACAACCCUCUACGUCUAAUCAGUCACCUAAGAUAUCGAGUGGCAAGUCUUUCACAUUUGCUGCUUAUAAUUCCUGAAUGGUCCAUAUUGAGUAUUUUCAUUUCUGGGUAAGGGAAAAAGCAUUUUGGUCCAUUAAUUCACCCGCUCGCUCCUGGAGGACGUUAACCAAUUCUGCUAUCACAAAGACGUGAGUGGCAUCAAUGUCUUGCAUGAUGAACUUCGCAGGCUUCCAUUUUUGUUCACUUUGGGAUGGUUUUCCUGUCGAACUGCGUGGAAAAGCAGGAAGCACACUGUCCACUGUAGGGGUUCCUGGUCCAGCAGAAGACUUUCAGAUAUUGUCAAGUUUAGUCCACUUCUUUGGAUCUCAGUGGCUUUUAUUCUGACAUAAGAUAUUUAGAUGUUGCAAGCCCCUCCAAGGAACACUAUUUUAUAAACAGAAACAUCCAGUUGUGUGGCCAUUUCAUAAUUAGCUUCUGAAAUGGACAGGAAAUGCACCUAUGUGAAGGAGGCAGAGCAGGGCAAAUGCCUUUACUGCUUUUCAAAUUUUGAUUUCCGGGUAGGAAACACAACUAAACCUCCUAUCAAUUUUUAGUCUUUACCUGUACAUUUCUAACUUUUAGAGAUUUCUGUUAAUGUUCCUUUUUCUUGUUAACUUUGUAUUUGAUAUUCAAGAAACGUUAGAAAUGAAUGCCUGUAUAACAUAAUUUCAAGAUAUUAAAAUAGCAUUUAUCAUUAAGGCCACUUGCUUUAUACCAACAUCACAAUUCCAUUUUAAGAGUUAUUCCAUGUCCUGGGAAAUUAAAUCACUGUCUCAACUCCUUCCAGGUGACAUAAGAAGACAUGGAGGCAUGAUGGUCUAGCAGAGAGAAGCCUAGGUGGUAUGGAUUGUUCCAUGUUGUGGAACAUAUUACAGAGACAAGGGUAUACAUUAGUUCAGCAAUUUCGAGUUCUUAAAACAUCUGCUUUCUCUCCAGCUAGAUCUAUACAACUGGAUGGAGAAGAUCAGGCUUAGGUGUUCUGUAAAAUUUAAAAAUGAGACCCCUAAUGGCAGCUUUCCUAUUUUACUCAUAUUUUUGGAAUAUUUUCAAGCAAUUGCUGAUACAAUCUGGUGAGCCACUGAUGGAAUUGAGUGUAAGAAAUGGAAACUGCUAUGGAUUGUUAACAUAGAGACUGAUGACCAGAUUACAGGUGCAUAUAUUUUGUUUAUCUAGAGUUGUGUGGAGGCUGCUGUUCAGAGCAUUGCUGACACCAGGGCAUGAAACUAGUGACACAGUUAAUGAGGCUGGUGAUGAAGAAACUCUCGGGUCCUAACCGAUAAUUUCACAUACCUAGUAAAUCAGCAUUAUUUCAUUUGAGUUACACUUGACUUUUUAAAAUUAAAUAUCAUGCGAAAGACUUUCCAGAAUUACAGCAUUCCACCAAAUUGCUCUAGCCAGGACCCCAUUGAGGUCCAUAUUGUAAAAUUAUCAGGUUAUAUCUAAGCCAUCAUCUUUCUUGAUUGCACCUCCCCCUCUGACAUAGUUUCUUCUCUUGGCUGUCAGCACACUGUGCCCGCUUGCCUUCCUCCUAUCUCCCUGGGCAUGCCUUCUCAGUUUCAUUGAUAGGGUUCUCCUCCUCCUCCUGGCCUCUCAAUCUUGGAGGUUUUUAGCCUUGAAGUUUCUUAGCCUUUUUGUCCUCUUUCUGCACUCACUGCCUCAUUCAGUCUCAAGGCUUUAAAC
rnacentral:lncRNA from 1 species